UACGUAGGGUGCGAGCGUUGUCCGGAAUUAUUGGGCGUAAAGAGCUUGUAGGCGGUUUGUCGCGUCUGCUGUGAAAAUCCGGGGCUCAACCCCGGGCCUGCAGUGGGUACGGGCAGACUAGAGUGCGGUAGGGGAGAUUGGAAUUCCUGGUGUAGCGGUGGAAUGCGCAGAUAUCAGGAGGAACACCAAUGGCGAAGGCAGAUCUCUGGGCCGUAACUGACGCUGAGGAGCGAAAGCGUGGGUAGCAAACAGG
rnacentral:rRNA from 1 species